AAACUGAAUUUUCUGAAACGAUUUUUAAUUAUUUCACUAGUAUUUCUUUUUUUACUAUUUAAUUGAUCACUUUUCAUUAAUUAAAUAAGAAUUCACUAAUUAGAGUUGAAAACUGAUUAAACUUUUCUCUCUGGUUAUUUAGGCUCGGGAACUAUAUGACCAGAGAUUUCUGGUCGAAUAGGCUGUUCCG